CAGAAAAUAGUUUAGUAAGAAUAAUAACUUUGGGAGUUAUUGGCGUGGGUAUUGAUUCCUGUUUUUCUGA
rnacentral:tRNA from 1 species